rnacentral:lncRNA from 1 species
CAAAGAUGUGUGUGCCAGUUGAUGAUAAUACAGCUGAGUCUGUGUACAGGCAAAUUGCAUUUAGAAAACCUCACCUGCUGGAAGCAGAUAUAACGUGUGACAAAUACUACAUUUUAUGGAGGUAUAAUUGUGAAGCAGGGACGAAAUGUCAAGAAAUGUCCUUUACAGACAAAAAUGACAACAGGGAGGCAAAUUUAGAAAAUCUGAAAAUGGUAUAGAGCUGAGACAGACAAGAGUUUCAUCAAAGAACUGAGACAUACAGAGUUUCAGCAAAGAGUUGAAGCAGAUGGAGUAUCAGCAAAGAACUGAGACAGACAGGGUUUAAGCUGAGAGCUGAGGCACACAGAGCUGAGGCAAAGAACUGAGGCACACAAGUGUUGGCAAAGAGGCAUACAGGCAAGGAACUGUGUUUCAGCAAAGACCAAAGAAAAAGAGCUGCUGAGGCAUGCAACGUCAUUCACUUAAAGAAAAAAGAUACUUAUUUAUGAAUAGCUGCCACAAAUACUUCAAGAGAAGUCAAAGGUUAGCAGAGAGCUACAAGGUCCAGCCAGGACGUACAUCUGACAUACACAAGGUUUUGCAAGGGGAUAUACCACACAGUUAAGGGCCUACAAAGAUGCAAAGGUUUAAAGCUGUACAAGGUGCAAGUCUACCAAACACAUUCAGCCUAUACAAUCAUUACAAAGGACAGAAAUAUCGAGUGGAACCAGUGUUUUGGCUAUGGGUCAGACAAUGUAUGAUGGUGGGUCACAACAACUUGGUGCUGUCUAGAAUCAAAGAGAAGUGACCAGAUGUCUAUGACAUGGGCUGCUGUGCCAUAUUGCCAAUACCUGUGUACAGUAGGGGUUGAAAAGGCCAGCUUUGCUUUUCACUUCCA